GUGCUCACUUCUGUGGCACAUGUCCUGAAAUUGCAAUGGUAUAGAGAAGAUUAGCGCGGUCCCUGCACAAGGACGAUGAAAGACAAAAGCCCAAAUAAAAAUGGAU